UUUUAGACGGUUUUCGUGUAAAACAUAAGUGGCCGCAUUCGUGUUCAUCCUUAAAGUUGAAAUGUAAUUUGUAUUUUAUUAUAAUACAUAACAUAUAUAAAGGUAGAGGAUGAACACGGAUGCGGCCACUUUCAUUUUUGACAAAAACCAUCUGAAA
rnacentral:sRNA from 1 species